rnacentral:rRNA from 1 species
AUUGCUUCUAAUUGUCCCUUGGACAUACUGGUCAAUUGUCUGACAUCGGAUCAGGUGGGAUUACCCGCUGAACUUAAAGCAUAUC